AUAGCCCCGAGCGAUGGGGCUCGCUCCUUCAUAACCGCGGUUUCAAUCCGCUGAUGGCUCCUGUCAACCG
rnacentral:ncRNA from 2 species